rnacentral:lncRNA from 1 species
CCAGGAAGCGCCUGCGCGGAGCAGUGGGAAGGUCACGGCCCGGCCGGGCCCUAGCUGUGCUCCGGCCCACGCCAAACUGGAGGACCCUGCUUAAUCCAAGAUCGCCAAUGAGGAGUCAGUAGAGUCCUGAGAGUCAGUUCUAACGCUUCAAGAGGAUUUUAACUCUCUUUCCCCUCUCAGUCCCCAGGAACUCAUGCUCCGCUCGACGUUGGCUUCCGCGGAACAUGAACCUACAAGCUUGAAGCCGCCCCUUCUCCCCACCGCCAGCCCUCACCAGUGUAGUGUGCCUGUCCUCAGUUGAAAGAUGAGCCAAGUGAGAAUGUUGGAUGAAGGAACCAAAUUGAUAUUCAUCAUCCUAUUGAAAACAACUCAGAUCCACAGGUCUUCUGAUGGCAGUCUGUGGCUGAACCAUGUGAAUGAAAGUUGGGCAGGUUCAAGGAAAAGGCAGGAAGUGGGCUUUCUUUGUCACAAGGAAAAGCCAGGAGAUGUGCCCAAGGGAAUGAGGAAAGGCUGGAAGAAUCUCAUGGAGAAAAUUGGUCUGGCAGGGCACAUAGGAUUGUUGGCAACAGUGGUUCCUGAGUCAAUGAGUCGACAGCAUGAUUUCAGCACUGCCUUUGUUCAAAGACAUAGACUGCAACUCAGUAGGAAUAUAGAACUACCAUGGGCCACACAUGUUCAAGACUUUCCUGCCAGUCAGGGGACCAGAGAAAUGCUGGUCUCGCAGAGCCAGCUAGCGUGUCUCUACAUGAAGAUGGCAGCGGACACCUUUUUGAGAACAAGGAAAUCCCAGCGGAAGGAAGGAUCUAUCAGUUGCUCCUGUUUCAUGCCAAGAAUUCUAAGUGAGAAGCCUUCCCCUAGAGGCUCAGAGAAGGCUGGAAGGCAUCUGUAGGUGAACAGGGCUGCUCUUCAUUGUGACCCAUGGUGCAGAGAAGCUCUGAACUCAGCGCAAAGGGGUGACCAGCCCCUUAAAAUCAGGAGAACGGGAGUUCUUGUCCUGGCUCAGUGGUUAACGAACUCGGCUAGCAUCCAUGAGGAUGUGGGUCAGAUUCCUGGCCUUGCUCAGUGGGUUAAGGAUCUGGCAUUGCCAAGAGCUGUGGUGUAGAAGUGAGAUGCGGCUCAGAUCCCUUGUUGCUGUGGCUGUGGUGUAGGCUGAUGGCUACAGCUCUGAUUGGAUCCCUAGCCUGGGAACCUCUGUAUGCCUUGGCCCCGGCCCUAAAAAACCAAAAAAAAAAAAAAAAUCAGGAAAAUGUAUUUAUCCAUGACCUAGCCCACUGGGGGCACAGGAAGGGGGGGAGGGGAUUGUCACCAGCUGUAGUCACAAAGCUUGUCUGAGUCCCUUUCCCUAAGCAAAAGGGCUGUGUGAGUUUAUGUAGGGAAAUGCCAGUUAAAAAAAAGAGUUAAACUGAUUUUAAAAAGUUAAAGGUCUUUUCUGCAGGACCUUUCAGGGGUUUCAGAAAAUGAGGUAAUGUGAAAAUGUACAUUGUGACAACUCCAAGAAUGGCAUAGAGCAUGCAGAAUUUUGUUGUUGUUGUUGUUCUUUUUAGGACUGUGCCAUGGCAUUUGGAAGUUCCCAGGAUAGGGGUCAAAUCAGAGCUGUAGCCAUUGGCCUUCACCAUAGCCACAGCAACGCCAAAUCCGAGGUGCGUCUCGCUCCAUAGCUCUAUGCCGGAUCCUUAACCUGCUGAGUGAGGCCAGGGAUAGAACCUGCAUCCUCAUGGAUAUCAGUCAGAUUUGUUUCCUCUGAGCAACGACAGGAACUUCAGAACAUGCAGAAUCNGUUUCCUCUGAGCAACGACAGGAACUCCAGAACAUGCAGAAUAAUGAAAUACUUGCCUGUGCAGCAUUUGGGAGGCACUUGUGUUCUGAGGAAAACCCUUGGGGAAACACUGAUCUAAUCCGACCUUCUCAUUUUACCAGAGAGCAACUAUGGUCAGGCAUUUUUUACCUGUGGGGCCCUGUCAGGUUCCUUUCUUCAUCACUGUUACACACUUGUUGGAAUUAACUUGAUCAAAAUUGGGGGGCAGCUUUGAAGAGAUCUCUUUUAUUCAUAAACCCUUUUUGUAUGUUUCAAGGGCAAAUUACACUAUAUAUUUUGAGUUUCCAUGGUCAAGAACCAGAUUAAUGCAACUAAACCUUAUAUAAUAUCACUUUUACCUAAAGAUCUUUACAUACAAAGAUAGAAACUGUAGUUCUUACUAUACAGGACAUUAAUAAUAAUGACAAAUACUAUACUGAUGGCCAUAAUAUGACCAUCUAACAUUUAUCAAAUGCCUUUCUGUUUGUCAGACACCUUAGUAAUACUUUUAUCUUCCCAGCAGUUUAUGUGGUUGGGGUUAUAAUAACCCCCAUUUCACAGUGAUGAAGAGGGUAAGACAUUAUUCCACGGCCACAUGCAGCUGGAGGAGAGAAGGUAUAUGGAAAUAUUCCUUAUGAGUGACACAAAGUGCUAUAUGAAUUCUGAGAAAAAUAAAAUUUUCAAAAGACUUGAUCA